rnacentral:rRNA from 1 species
AGAACGAACGCUGGCGGCAUGCCUAACACAUGCAAGUCGAACGCGUGACUUCGGUCACGAGUGGCGCACGGGUGAGUAACGCGUGGGAACCUGCCCCGAGGUGGGGGAUAACCGAUGGAAACGUCGGCUAAUACCGCAUACGACCUAAGGGUGAAAGAUUUAUCGCCUUGGGAGGGGCCCGCGUCGGAUUAGCUAGUUGGUGGGGUAACGGCCUACCAAGGCUAUGAUCCGUAGCUGGUCUGAGAGGAUGAUCAGCCACACUGGGACUGAGACACGGCCCAGACUCCUACGGGAGGCAGCAGUGGGGAAUAUUGGACAAUGGCGCAAGCCUGAUCCAGCAAUGCCGCGUGAGUGAUGAAGGCCUUAGGGUUGUAAAGCUCUUUCGGCGGGGACGAUGAUGACGGUACCCGCAGAGAAGCCCCGGCUAACUUCGUGCCAGCAGCCGC